GAUAGCUGGUUCUCCCCGAAAUAGCUUUAGGGCUAGCGUCGCAGCGAGAGAGCCGUGAAGGUAGAGCACUGAAUAUGCGAUGGCCGCAUCCCGCGGUACUGAGCAUAAUCAAACUCCGAAUGUCACGGUGUCAUCUGCGGCAGUCAGACGGCGAGUGAUAAGGUCCGUCGUCAAGAGGGAAACAGCCCAGACCAUCAGCUAAGGUCCCAAAGUGCAUGCUAAGUGGAAAAGGAAGUGGAGAUGUGCAGACAACUAGGAGGUUGGCUCAGAAGCAGCCAUCCUUCAAAGAGUGCGUAACAGCUCACUAGUCGAAUGACUCUGCGCCGAUAAUUUACCGGGGCUAAGCAUGACACCGAAGCUAUGGACAGGAAUGUGGUAGGGGAGCAUUGCAUGCAGCGGAGAAGCAUGACCGGGAGGGCAUGUGGAGCGCAUGGAAGAGAGAAUGCCGGCGUGAGUAGCGGCACGUGGGUGAGAAUCCCACGCACCGAUGGCCCAAGGUCUCCAGAGGAAGGCUCGUCCUCUCUGGGAUAGUCGGGACCUAAGGCGAGGCCGAAAGGCGUAGCCGAUGGACGACGGGUGGAUAUUCCCGUACCCGAUGUGUGGCGAUGGAGUGACGGAGAAGGCUCAGGCAACCAGCUGCUGGAAUAGCUGGGGCAAGCGAGAUACCUGCGCACCAGGGAAAUCCGGUGCGCAUAAGGGGAAGGCGCGAUGCAUACGGAAAGCUUCGGCAAGUACGGAAAAGCUGAGAGCAGGCUUCCAGGAAAAGCUUCUAGCACAACACACAUCGGCCCGUACCGAAAAUGGACACACAUGGGCAAGGAGAGAAUCCUGAGGUGAGCGAGAGAACUAUAGCUAAGGAACUCUGCAAAAUGACCCCGUAACUUAGGGAGAAGGGGUGCUCCAGAAAUGGAGCCGCAGUAAAACGGCCCAAGCGACUGUUUACCAAAAACACAGCUCUCUGCGAAGGCGCAAGCCGAAGUAUAGGGGGUGACGCCUGCCCGGUGCUGGAAGGUCAAGGGGAGCUGUCAGCGCAAGCGAAGCAGCGAGCCGAAGCCCCAGUAAACGGCGGCCGUAACUAUAACGGUCCUAAGGUAGCGAAAUUCCUUGUCGGGCAAGUUCCGACCCGCACGAAAGGCGUAACGAUUUGGGCGCUGUCUCAGCUGUAGACUCGGUGAAGUCUUAGUACCUGUGAAGAUGCAGGUUGCCCGCGACUAGACGGAAAGACCCCAUGGAGCUUCACUGCAGGUUGACAUUGGGCUUGGAUGCAUGAUGUACAGGAUAGGUGGGAGGCUGUGAGCCGUGCGCGCCAGCGUACGGGGAGCCGCUGUUGGGAUACCACCCUUCAUGCAUCUAGGUCCUAACCGGAGGCAACGGGCCACGGGACAGUGUCAGUCGGGCAGUUUGACUGGGGCGGUCGCCUCCCAAAGAGUAACGGAGGCGCCCAAAGAUACCCUCAGCAUGGAUGGAAACCAUGCAUAGAGUGCAAAGGCAUAAGGGUGUCUGACUGCGAGACAUACAGGUCGAGCAGGGACGAAAGUCGGGCUUAGUGAUCCGGCGGAUCCGAAUGGAAGGGCCGUCGCUCAACGGAUAAAAGCUACCCUGGGGAUAACAGGCUGAUCUCCCCCAAGAGUUCACAUCGACGGGGAGGUUUGGCACCUCGAUGUCGGCUCAUCGCAUCCUGGAGCUGAAGUCGGUUCCAAGGGUUGGGCUGUUCGCCCAUUAAAGCGGUACGCGAGCUGGGUUCAGAACGUCGUGAGACAGUUCGGUCCCUAUCUGUCGUGGGCGCAGGAGGUUUGAGGAGAGCUGCCCCUAGUACGAGAGGACCGGGGUGGACGGACCGAUGGUGCACCAGUUGUCACGCCAGUGGCACAGCUGGG
rnacentral:rRNA from 1 species